rnacentral:rRNA from 1 species
UCGGUACCUCGGCGAUGCAUCUAGAUUAGAGUUUGAUCCUGGCUCAGGAUGAACGCUGGCGGCGUGCCUAACACAUGCAAGUCGAACGAAGCAUAUCUAACGGAGAUUCGUCGAAGCUGGAUAUGACUUAGUGGCGGACGGGUGAGUAAUGUAUGAGCAACCUGCCUUUCAGAGGGGGACAACAGUUGGAAACGACUGCUAAUACCGCAUAACGUAUUUGGGUGGCAUCACCUGGAUACCAAAGGAGCAAUCCGCUGAAAGAUGGGCUCAUAUCUGAUUAGCUUGUUGGCGGGGUAACGGCCCACCAAGGCGACGAUCAGUAGCCGGACUGAGAGGUUGAACGGCCACAUUGGGACUGAGAUACGGCCCAGACUCCUACGGGAGGCAGCAGUGGGGAAUAUUGGGCAAUGGGCGAAAGCCUGACCCAGCAACGCCGCGUGAAGGAAGAAGUCUUCGAUUGUAAACUUCUUUUAUGAGGGACGAAGACGUGACGGUACUCAUGAAUAGCCACGGCUAACUACGUGCCAGCAGC